GGUCUAGUGGCGCACGGGUGCGUAACGCGUGGGAAUCUGCCCUUGGGUCCGGAAUAACUCUCCGAAAGGAGUGCUAAUACCGGAUGAUGACGUAAGUCCAAAGAUUUAUCGCCCAAGGAUGAGCCCGCGUAAGAUUAGGUAGUUGGUGAGGUAAAGGCUCACCAAGCCGACGAUCUUUAGCUGGUCUGAGAGGAUGAUCAGCCACACUGGGACUGAGACACGGCCCAGACUCCUACGGGAGGCAGCAGUGGGGAAUAUUGGACAAUGGGCGAAAGCCUGAUCCAGCAAUGCCGCGUGAGUGAUGAAGGCCUUAGGGUUGUAAAGCUCUUUUACCCGGGAUGAUAAUGACAGUACCGGGAGAAUAAGCCCCGGCUAACUCCGUGCCAGCAGCCGCGGUAAU
rnacentral:rRNA from 1 species